rnacentral:rRNA from 1 species
GACAGAGGGUGCAAACGUUGUUCGGAAUUACUGGGCGUAAAGCGCGUGUAGGCGGCUAAGCAAGUCGGGCGUGAAAUCCCACCGCUCAACGGUGGAAGUGCACCCGAAACUGCAUAGCUAGAGUCCUGGAGAGGAAGGUGGAAUGCUUGGUGUAGAGGUGAAAUUCGUAGAUAUCAAGCGGAACACCGGUGGCGAAGGCGGCCUUCUGGACAGUAACUGACGCUGAGACGCGAAAGCGUGGGGAGCAAACAGG